rnacentral:miRNA from 10 species
UAUGGGUGACGCUAUUGGUGGCCUUGCUGUAGCAGCACGUAAAUAUUGGAGUUUACACUGUCGCAUAUGCCUCCAGUAUUGAUCGUGCUGCUGAAGCAAAACUGACCA